rnacentral:rRNA from 1 species
GACGAACGCUGGCGGCGUGCCUAAUACAUGCAAGUCGAGCGAACCAAUAAGAAGCUUGCUUUUUGUUGGUUAGCGGCGGACGGGUGAGUAACACGUGGGUAACCUGCCUGUAAGACCGGGAUAACUCCGGGAAACCGGUGCUAAUACCGGAUAGAUUAUCUUUCCGCCUGGAGAGAUAAGGAAAGAUGGCUUUUGCCAUCACUUACAGAUGGGCCCGCGGCGCAUUAGCUAGUUGGUGAGGAACGGCUCACCAAGGCGACGAUGCGUAGCCGACCUGAGAGGGUGAUCGGCCACACUGGGAC